ACCGCACAACGUCCCUGCACCAACAAAUCAUCAUACAUUAAAGGCCUACUUGAGCUUCCUCAUCAGUCACCAGAACUUAUAGAUUCGAGGGCUUCGUCUCAGAUCUUAUUAGGGUUUCCUUUCGAAGGCAACUCUCUCUACUCUCUUCUUCCCAACCCCAAUAAUGAAAUCUUCACUCGUUCAUCGAAUCUCGCACCCCAAUUUCAUUCUCGCUUGUAAUUCCUCUUAUUUCAUAUUCUUGUAGCCAAAACUUGUUGGCGCUGGAGAGACCCCAAGUAUGUGUUUAAGAUCCGUAAAACCCAUGUGUUUUUUUGGCCGUUCGUAGCGGAGUCUAUUACCCGGUCUUCCAUUGACUUUGCUUUGCCAAUGAAGCGGUCCGUCCGUCCUCUGUUCAGCAUUCUGUUGCUCAUCGUGUUUGCGGCAACCUUGACUUGUCGGGUCGCAAUCCGUUUUGGGUUUUCACAGAUUGAGCUCGAAAACAAGGUAUUGUUACGGGCUCCAGCUCCGUCGGUGUUCAACUCUACCCUGCUGAAGAUGGCGGCCAUUGAUAUGGGGGAGGCGCAUUCGAAACAAGAGAUAGAGCAGUUACUGGAAGGGAACUUCGCUAGCCGAGGGAGAUACAGGACGUUCUCCUCGUGGAGGAAGUUCAAUAAGCACGAUAUUAGAGCAAGCUCGUCGAGGGGAAUCCCGUUAAUGCUCAGGUCCACGGAAUUCUACCGCCAAUGGCUUGAAUUUAGGAGGGUAUUACAUGAUUGGGCGCGAAACAAGAGGUAUCAAGCUGAGAUAAUGAUGGAACUGGUGAGACAAGUGAAGCUUCCCAUUGACAGGCACAAUGGGUUAGUGGGUUCGGACUCCAAGUAUGCCUCCUGUGCGGUUGUGGGGAAUAGUGGGAUCUUGUUGGAGAAGGAGUAUGGGAGUUUGAUCGAUAGCCACGAAGUGGUGAUUCGAUUGAACAAUGCGAGAACUGAGAAAUUCGGGAGGAAUGUGGGAGCCAAAACCAACAUUUCCUUUGUAAAUAGCAACAUAUUGCAUCUCUGCGCGAGAAGGGAAGGAUGCUUCUGCCACCCAUAUGGUGUGAAUGUGCCCAUAGUAAUGUACAUUUGUCAACCUGUGCACCUCUUGGACUAUACAGUGUGCAAUUCAUCACACAAAGCACCUCUACUCAUUACUGAUGCAAGAAUCGAUGUGUUGUGCUCGCGAAUUGUUAAGUAUUACUCCUUGAAACGGUUUGUGGAGGAGGAAGGGAAGCCACUGGAGAAAUGGGGCUCAGCCCAUGAUGGUUCUAUGUUUCAUUACUCCUCUGGAAUGCAGGCUGUGAUGCUAGCUUUGGGAGUUUGUGAGAAAGUUAGCAUAUAUGGCUUUGGGAAAUUAGCUUCAACAAAGCAUCAUUAUCAUACUAAUCAAAAGGCUGAGCUUCGAUUACAUGAUUAUGAAGCAGAAUAUGCCUUCUAUCAUGAUUUGGUGAACAAUCCGCAGGCAAUACCCUUCAUUUCAGACAAGUUCAAGAUUCCUCCUGUGGGAUUUUUGACAUUUGCACAUGGGGAAAGUUGAGUCAACAGAAGGUGCACUAAGGAAUUGUGAAGUUAAAGGAAUCAGUGUGAUGGGCCUUCAACCUUCUAUUUUCUAGGUGAAGGACAUGUAUAUCAGCCAGGGGAAGAAAUUUUGCAGGGAACUUGUGAGUGGAACCGUUGAAGCUCCUAGCUUAUUUUUUAUAUGAGCUGGAUCUUCCUUGGAGAUACUCAAGGAAGGGACUCCCAGGAAGGACCCAACACAUCAGCAACAGAGUGUUAUACUAACUACUGGCUAUACAAAUCAAAGACUCGAAGGUUUUUUGUUUUAAACGUAUUCCCUGUUCAAAGACUGACCUUCAACUUCCUGCUGCCACUUGAUAACGUGGUCAUGCAGAUCACUUGAAAAGAGUUGGAAGACCCACGUCUUCCAACAAACCCAGCCUUGCUCUUCCGUGGAAUGAAAAUCUCUUUUGCUCCUCAAGAGAAGUUAUAUAUCUUUAGACUGCCAGGAGGACUAUGGCCCUUGCACGAGUAGGCGAUUCGACUCUGGAAACUUAACUGGGAGAACGAAAUCCAAGGAUUUACCCUGCUCAGCUAUAUCUGCAUGCUCGCCAACAAGUAAUUAUCAUUUAUCAUUAUACCACUUCAAUUGCCAUAACUUUUGGAAUCAUAUGCUUUCCUUUUCUUUUAAAUGCUAUACAUGUUUUCUUCCAUGCAUUCCCUCACAAACUUCAAGCGUGCACAUUCAUUCAAACUGAAUCCUAGUGACUGCGCGGAAAAGACCACAUUUCAUGCUUUUUUGAGAGAGAGACUUUGGAAUUGGUGUGUUGGUUUGCUUUUCUUCUUUCUUUUUUGGGUCUUAUCUUAAUUUUAUUAUUUUUCUUACUCAAGAAGACCUGAUUUAGGCAUUAAUACUCUCAGAUAUAAUUAGGAGUAUUUUGUAAACUGAGAGAGGUCUUAUUUCACUACUGCCAAGAAGUACCUUGUGCUUUCCUGCACCCGUCAGUAGGUUGUUCACAUUGUAAUACUUGUAAAUUUAUCAAACAGACGUAUUCUUGUAUCGAAGUCGUCCGUCGUUGUGCCCUGCCUAAUCAAGCAGGUGAGGAACCUUUGUUAUAUUUCCAUUCCCCUUCACCCCGAUUUUCUUCUCCUUGUUUCAGACUGCAAUUAAUUUCCAAGCGCGGCUCAUGUUAUGGAUAAGUUAUUUUGGCUCAUCUAGGAAACAGCCUCUAUCAUCAUCGCUUGCCAUGAAAUGGAAGAAACCACAUAGCUGGCUUGAAUCCUUUAUUUAGGUGUAACUUCGUAUUUUUGAACGUGAAACACAGCAUCAACGUACAAUGGUAGUCCCAAUGAAGCCGUCUAUAUGCAGUUGCUUCAACACUGUUGCUCACUGCCAUUGCCGUCUCCUUGACCUGUCUGGUUGUAAUCCGCCACCAUAUUGCACAGAUUGAGUUGGUAAGCAAGCCAGUAUCACAAACUCCAAUGCUGCCGGUGUUCAACUCUGUGCGCCUCAUAUAUAUAUAUAUAUGAGGCGCAGCCAAAGCAAGGGAAAGAGCAGGAAGGGAACUAAGGUAGCCGGGGGAAGAAGUCCAACGACCGGCUGUUGCUCAGGUGGUCCUCAAAAUUCAGUCGGGAAAAUCUUUUGGAAUCCGUUGGUUCCUGGGACACCUAGUUUAUUUGGGCUCAAAUUUUGGGCUUUCCAUGUCCAAGGAGACAGAGAAGAGGCCGUGUUGUGUUGGGCCUACUUACUUUGUGCUCUGAGAAAGUUCUAGUCCAAGGCCCAUCGCGUCCUUUUUAGGCCCAUCUGGUUCGCUUACGUGUGGCCUAUGUAUGUUGGGUCUUAGUCGCAUGACACAAUCCAAAAGACACUCUUAGUCUUAGUCGCAUGGCACAAGGCAGUUGAACGAACCAACUACCCCAAGCAAGCUAAAAGUGGAUGGCAUUUCUUUUAGUCGACAAAGCAUGGUGGCAGUCCCUUUUAUCAUAUCAUAUAUAUAUAUAUGAAAAAUAUGCAACUUCUUUUUAUUUGGUCAAGCCACCUCAAAAGGAACCAUGUUCAUACCCACAUACGAAGGCUCGGCCUCAAGACUCAAGAGUGAGUAGUACUCAUGAUUCUCUCAAGUCUUCUUGGUAGGAAAAAAAAGGGGGUCAUUGUGCACAUUUCCUUUCCACACAGAGAGAAAGGCAAACCCUUUAUUUGGGGUUUUCUCUUCUAUUUGUUUUGAGUCAAUGAUUCAACAGUGUAUCUAUAUGUCAC